UCUUAUUUAUUUCUUUUUUUCUUUUCUUCUUAUUCUUUCUUU
rnacentral:ribozyme from 14 species